AACGAACACUGGCGGCGUGGAUUAGGCAUGCAAGUCGAACGAGAACGCUCCCUUCGGGGAGCUAGUACAGUGGCGAACGGGUGAGUAACGCGUGGGAAACCUGCCCCUUAGUGGGGGAUAACAGUUCUAACGAGCUGCUAAUACCGCAUUCGAUCGCCUGGCCGCAUGGCCUGGCGAUGAAAGGUGGCCUCUGAUUCAAGCUACCGCCGAAGGAUGGUCCCGCGUCCCAUUAGCUUGUUGGUAGGGUAACGGCCUACCAAGGCUACGAUGGGUAGCCGGCCUGAGAGGGUGUCCGGCCACACUGGGACUGAGAUACGGCCCAGACUCCUACGGGAGGCAGCAGUCGAGAAGCUUCGUCAAUGGGCGAAAGCCUGAACGAGCGACGCCGCGUGAGCGAAGAAGGCCCUACGGGUUGUAAAGCUCUGUCAGAUUGGGAAGAAAACUCCGGGGUUAAUACCCCCGGAGCUUGACGGUACCAUCAGAGGAAGCCCCGGCCAACUACGUG
rnacentral:rRNA from 1 species